CGCGUAGGCGGUCUGUUAAGUGUGAAGCUAAAUCUCUGGGCUCAACCCGGAAACUAUUUCGCAUACUGGCAGACUAGAGUGAUGCAGAGGUUUGUGGAAUUCCUGGUGUAGCGGUGAAAUGCGUUGAUAUCAGGAGGAACACCCAUGGCGAAGGCAGCAAACUGGGCAUUAACUGACGCUGAGGCGCGAAAGCGUGGGUGGCAAACAGGAUUAGAUACCCUGGUAGUCCACGCCCUAAACGAUGGAUACUAGGCGUAAGAGGUAUCGACCCCUCUUGUGCCGCAGCUAACGCAUUAAGUAUCCCGCCUGGGGAGUACGGCCGCAAGGUUGAA
rnacentral:rRNA from 1 species